GCCGCAUUAGCCCAGAUGGUAGGGGCGUCCCCAGUACAGAUGGCAAAGGUCGUUGGUUCAAAUCCAGCCUGCGGUA